UUUCCGUAGGUGAACCUGCGGAAGGAUCAUUAAAAAAUGUGGUACCAUUUGUUGGUACUAAUUAAUCAUCCUACCCUUUGUGAAUUUGUUUGUAACGAAUUUUUUUAAAUGGGUCUUCCCUAAGUUGGAUUGUAGUAAAAUACAAAAAGACUUAGGGGAAUGACUUUUUUAAAAGACUUUUUUUUUAAUUAAAACUUUUUGUAUUCAUUUGUCUAAAAUUUAUUUUUAUAAUAUAAAACAACUUUUGACAAUGGAUCUCUUGGUUCUCGCAACGAUGAAGAACGCAGCAAAAUGCGAUAAGUAGUGUGAAUUGCAGAAUACGUGAAUCAUCGAAUCUUCGAACGCAUAUUGCACUUUUUUAGUUUACUAAAAAAGUAUGUCUGUUUGAGUAUCAGUAAAAUAUUCUCACAAACAAUAUUGUUUUUGUGGUUAUGAGUGUUUUACAACGAUAAACAAGUUGUUUCACUUUAAAUUCUUUUUAAUUGAAUUUUUACCAAUUCAUAAAUUAAAAUUGGAUAAAAUUUUCCUUUAACGAGGAAUAACCUAAACAAUUUUAAAUUUUAUGGAUUAAUAAACAUUCAUCAGAGGAAUCUAUACAACAAAUAACUUGAUCUCAAAUCAGAUAAGAGUACCGCUGAACUUAAGCAUAUCAAUAAGCGGAGGAAAAGAAACUAACAAGGAUUCCCUUAGUAACGGCGAGUGAAGCGGGAAGAGCUCAAAUUUGAAAUCUUCAAGGUUUGACCUUACGAAUUGUAGUUUAUAGAAGUGUUUUCUGUUGGAGUUUUGGUAAAAGUUCUUUGGAAUAGGACAUCAUAGAGGGUGAGAAUCCCGUAUUUGACCAUGACUUUCCAGCUGUGUGAUACACUUUCAAAGAGUCGGAUUGUUUGGGAAUGCAGUCCAAAAUGGGUGGUAAAUUUCAUCUAAAGCUAAAUAUUGGCGAGAGACCGAUAGCGAACAAGUACCGUGAGGGAAAGAUGAAAAGAACUUUGAAAAGAGAGUUAAACAGUACGUGAAAUUGUCAAAAGGGAAGCGUUUGACACCAGUGUUGUUUUCUCGAAAAUCAAUUUAAUGAGUUCUUGUUUUUAAGUUAUUGUGACUUUAUCAGCGCAUUUCUUAUUUUACUUGACUCAUUGAAUGCACUUUUCGUUUAACAAGUCAACAUCAAUUUCUUUGGUGGUAAAAAGUUUAAAGGAAGGUGGCUUGGACUUCGGUUCAAGUGUUUAUAGCCUUUUUCCUAUGCCAUCGGAGAGAUUGAGGUCUGCAGCGUAGAUCCUUCGGGGUUAGAUACCUUUGUGCUAAGUUAUAGUUUUUUAUAGACAACUUGUUGACUAUAAUUAGCCCUGUAAUUUACUCGCUUAGGCUAUUUUACCUACGCUUAGGAUGUUG
rnacentral:misc_RNA from 1 species